AGCAUGUUGGCAGAAUAGUGCCGACGAUUUAGGAUCGUCUCAUGGAUAAAUCCACAUACUAU
rnacentral:tRNA from 1 species